rnacentral:rRNA from 1 species
UACGGGGGGUGCGAGCGUUGUCCGGAAUCACUGGGCGUAAAGAGCGUGUAGGCGGCCAGGUAGGUCUGCUGUGAAAACUCGAGGCUUAACCUCGAGCUGUCGGCGGAAACCAUCUGGCUAGAGUCCGGAAGAGGAGAAUGGAAUUCCCGGUGUAGCGGUGAAAUGCGUAGAUAUCAGGAGGAACACCUGUGGCGAAAGCGGCUCACUGGACCAUAACUGACGCUGAUGCACGAAAGCUAGGGGAGCAAACAGG